UGCUGUGGCCUCACUAAUGCCGAGUACAAGGUGAGAAUGACGUCCUGGGAUUUGCUUGAGAAGCAUCUAUGGAUGCAAGCCAGCAUUUUGGUUGCUUUACUAGCCACAGCAUUGCAUUGCAGGCUCAUGUUCAUCUUGUGGUUUAUGAUGACCCCCGAGUCAUUUUCUUCCAUAGUGCUAGCCAG